rnacentral:rRNA from 1 species
CACCGCGGUUAUACGAGGGGCCCAAGUUGACAGCUGCCGGCGUAAAGAGUGGUUAAGAGAAACCCCGUCUAGAGUCGAACUACUUUAAAGCUGUUAUACGCCAAUAAAAACGUGAAGCCCGACUACGAAAGUGACUUUAACAUCUUCUGAUCCCACGAAAGCUAGGGCA